rnacentral:lncRNA from 11 species
AUUUAAAGAAGCCAAGUUCUUAAAGCUGUUUCGUACUAUAGAGGAGGAAAGGCACUGCAGGCAGGCAUGCAUGCUUUCUCUCCUAGGUGCCAUGCACUCUUUCCAAGGCAUUUUAAAGAAACUUCCCACUUCCAGGUGUCUCCUGCAUAACAAAUGGAUGCAGCAUAAUUUGGAAGAGAAAAAGAAAGUAAACAUGGAGGAUGGUGG